UAUAAGAGGUCCAGCCUGCCCAGUGACUCUGUUCAACGGCCGCGGUAUCCUAACCGUGCGAAGGUAGCGUAAUCACUUGUUCUUUAAAUGAGGACUAGUAUGAAAGGCAUCACGAGGGUUAUACUGUCUCCUUUUUCUAAUUAGUGAAACUAAUCUCCUCGUGAAGAAGCGGGGAUUAUACUAUAAGACGAGAAGACCCUAUGGAGCUUUAAAUAAUGUAACAAUUGCUACUUUAUCUUUACUUACCUUAUAACAUCUAGCAACAUGAUUACUAAUUUUUGGUUGGGGUGACCGCGGAGCACAAAAUAACCUCCACAUUGAAAGGAAGAUACUCCUAAGCUAAAAGCAACAACUUUAAGCAUCAAUAAAUUGACAUUAAUUGACCCAAUAUAUUUGAUCAACGAACCAAGUUACCCUAGGGAUAACAGCGCAAUCUACUUUAAGAGCCCAUAUCGACAAGUAGGUUUACGACCUCGAUGUUGGAUCAGGGUAUCCCAGUGGUGCAGCCGCUACUAAAGGUUCGUUUGUUCAACGAUUAAAACCCUACGUGAUCUGAGUUCAGACGGGA
rnacentral:rRNA from 1 species